GUAAUUUUUUUGCCUGGGUACUAUUAGUUAAGAUCUUAAAACCCAAAGAAUUUGGCGGUACCUCAAUUCCUUUCAGAGGAACCUACCCCGUAAUUGAUAAUACACGAUUAACUUUACUUAAUUUAUUUGUUUGUAUAUCUCCGUUAUCAGAAAAUCUUUUUGGAGUUAUAAUUUUCUUGAUUCAUUAUUAUGAAAUAUUUCAGGUCAAGGUGCAGCUUAUAAUUAAGAGGAGGUGGGUUACAAUAAAUUUUUGUUUAUUAUGGAUUUAUUAUUUAAAUGAUAUUAAUGAAGGUGGAUUUGAUAGUAAUUUAGUUUAGUAAUCUAAUAUAAUACAACACCAUAC
rnacentral:rRNA from 1 species